UUUGCGAAAGCAAGCAGAGACCCGAAACAGCCACGUGGCACGAGAGCGUGGCACGAGAGCAUGUCACGUGACCGAUACAUCUGGCGCCCGCCCGUCACCCGAAUCCACGUUUUUCUCUUUCCGCCGGUGCUCAGCAGCCACAGUGUGGAUGGAGAGCGUGCUCAAACACUCUCGAGGCGAUAACGUCAGAGCUCUCCAGAUAGCGCAAGCUUGGGGGCGACAGCGUUUGAUAGGGAAGGUUAAGUUGAAGCCAGGAGUUACCCGGGAGCAAAAUCAAUUGACAAGUGCAAGGUGCUAAUCAGAGGCGUGAAUCUGGGCGGUGAAGGGUGUGUAGAGCUGUGGAAAUGGCGCCGGGAGAUUGGCGGGACGUGUUGCGGUUCGCCGUAUCACGUGACAGCUCUCCAUCUGCUGGGAUUUGUGCCGCCUUGUCCUCUGCUCCCCCUCCUCAACACAUGUCUCCACACCUACCAGUGGCUGUUUAGGCAGAGUUAAAACAGUGUAACGGUCGGAGGAGAGCCAAAAGAGAGGUCAAACGACACUAAGGACGGGGUCUAGCACCAAAGUAGAAGGUGUCAAACACUGGCCAAGGGUGGUGGAUUUGAUUUCCAUGUAUGUUGGAUGGCUUUUUGUCGUUUUUGAGCAUUAUCUGGUGUCUGGUUGGAUUCAGCAUCAACUCCAUUGUACC
rnacentral:misc_RNA from 1 species